CAAGAGCGUAUAUUAAAGUUGCUGCGGUUAAAAAGCUCGUAGUUGGAUUUCAGUCUAGGAAGGUUCACUCGCCGAAAGGUUGUACGUUGAUUUUCCUCAGACUUCGUCAGAAGCUCGUGCUGCACUUAACUGUGUGGUACGAUGUUCUGACCUUUUACCUUGAGGAGAGUAGAGUGUUUCAGGCAGGCUACCCAGCUUGAAUACAUUAGCAUGGAAUAAUGAAAUGGAUCUCGGUUCGAUUUCGUUGGUUCUAGAGCUGAGGUGAUGAUCAAUAGGAACAGGCGAAGGUAUUCGUACUUGAGAGUGAGGAGUGAAAUCCGAUGAUCUCUUAAAGACGAUCCGAGGCGAAAGCAUUUGUCAAGGAUGUUUUCAUUGA
rnacentral:rRNA from 1 species